rnacentral:rRNA from 1 species
AUUGAACGCUGGCGGCAGGCCUAACACAUGCAAGUCGAACGAGUGGCGGACGGGUGAGUAAUGUCUGGGAAACUGCCUGAUGGAGGGGGAUAACUACUGGAAACGGUAGCUAAUACCGCAUACCAUCGGAUGUGCCCAGGUGGGAUUAGCUAGUGGGGGGGGUAAAGGCUCACCUAGGCGACGACCCGUAACUGGUCUGAGAGGAUGAUCAAGGAAACUGGAACUGGGACACGGUCCUGACUCCUAGGGGAGGCAGCCGUGGGGAAUAUUGGGCAAUGGGCGAAAGCCUGAGCCAGCCAUGCCGCGUGUAUGAAGAAGGCCUUCGGGUUGUAAAGUACUUUCAGCGGGGAGGCGUUACCCGCAGAAGAAGCACCGGCUAACUCCGUGCCAGCAGCCGCGGUAAUUC